GGAAAACUAGAGUACAUAUAGAAAAACAUAGAAUGAUACAGAGAAGAUUAGCAUGGUCCCUGGCGCAAGGAUGACACGCAAAUUCGUGAAGCGUUCCUCAUUUUU